rnacentral:rRNA from 1 species
GAUGAACGCUGGCGGCGUGCCUAAUACAUGCAAGUCGAGCGAACGGACGAGAAGCUUGCUUCUCUGAUGUUAGCGGCGGACGGGUGAGUAACACGUGGAUAACCUACCUAUAAGACUGGGAUAACUUCGGGAAACCGGAGCUAAUACCGGAUGAUAUUUUGAACCGCAUGGUUCAAAAGUGAAAGACGGUCUUGCUGUCACUUAUAGAUGGAUCCGCGCUGCAUUAGCUAGUUGGUAAGGUAACGGCUUACCAAGGCAACGAUGCAUAGCCGACCUGAGAGGGUGAUCCGCCACACUGGAACUGAGACACGGUCCAGACUCCUACGGGAGGCAGCAGUAGGGAAUCUUCCGCAAAGGGCGAAAGCCUGACGGAGCAACGCCGCGUGAGUGAUGAAGGUCUUCGGAUCGUAAAACUCUGUUAUUAGGGAAGAACAUAUGUGUAAGUAACUGUGCACAUCUUGACGGUACCUAAUCAGAAAGCCACGGCUAACUACGUG